rnacentral:rRNA from 1 species
AGGAAAGAAAUCGUUAAGGGCGUAUGGCGGAUGCCUAGGCUUUCAGAGGCGACGAAGGACGUGGUAAGCUGCGAAAAGCUGCGGGGAUUGGCACACACGAAUUGAUCCGCAGAUGUCCGAAUGGGGCAACCCGGCUGGUUGAAGACCAGUCACCUCGUAAGAGGAGCAAACCCGGAGAACUGAAACAUCUAAGUACCCGGAGGAAAAGAAAUCGAAGAGAUUCCGUAAGUAGUGGCGAGCGAAAGCGGAUUAGCCCAAAAGCUAAUUUAUGUUUAAUAGAAUGUUCUGGAAAGAACAGCCAUAGAGGGUGAUAGCCCCGUAUAUGAAAGGCAUAUUUAAGUGAUAAAUGAGUAGGGCGGGACACGUGAAAUCCUGUCUGAAUAUGGGGGGACCAUCCUCCAAGGCUAAAUACUCCUGAAAGACCGAUAGUGAACAAGUACUGUGAAGGAAAGGUGAAAAGCACUUCGAAUAGAAGGGUGAAAUAGAACCUGAAACCGUACGCCUACAAGCGGUCGGAGCACCUAUAUGGUGUGACGGCGUGCCUUUUGCAUAAUGAGCCUACGAGUUAAUUUUACUAGCGAGGUUAAGGUAUUAAGUACCGGAGCCGGAGCGAAAGCGAGUCUGAAUAGGGCGUAUAGUUAGUAGGAUUAGACGCGAAACCUUGUGAUCUACCCAUGGGCAGGUUGAAGCUCUGGUAACACAGAGUGGAGGACCGAACCGGUUGACGUUGAAAAGUCUUCGGAUGACCUGUGGGUAGGGGUGAAAGGCCAAUCAAACUGGGAGAUAGCUCGUACUCUCCGAAAUGCAUUUAGGUGCAGCGUCGUAUAUAAGUUUAUUAGAGGUAGAGCUACUGAUUGGAUGCGGGGGAGUCAAAUCCUACCAAUUCCUGACAAACUCCGAAUGCUAAUAAAUGUUCUACGGCAGUGAGGGCAUGGGUGCUAAGGUCCAUGUCCGAGAGGGAAAGAACCCAGACCAACAGCUAAGGUCCCAAAAUAUAUGUUAAGUUGAAGCAACGCGGUUGGACUGCAUUGACAGCUAGGAUGUUGGCUUGGAAGCAGCCAUUCAUUUAAAGAGUGCGUAACAGCUCACUAGUCGAGCGGUCCGGCAUGGAUAAUAAUCGGGCAUAAACAUAUUACCGAAGCUAUGGAUUUGUAUUUUAGAUACAUCUGGUAGGAGAGCAUUCUAUUUGCGCCGAAGCAGUACUGUGAGGUAUUGUGGAGCGGAUAGAAAAGAAAAUGUAGGCAUAAGUAACGAUAAAGCGGGCGAGAAACCCGCUCACCGAAAGACUAAGGUUUCCUCAGCCAUGCUAAUCAGCUGAGGGUUAGUCGGGACCUAACGCGAACCCGAACGGGGAAGUGGAUGGACAAUGGGUUAAUAUUCCCAUACUUGCUCACACUAAAAAGGGGACGGAGUGCCGUACUUACUGGAGACUGACGGAAUAGUCAAGGCCUAGCCUUCGGGCGAAGCUGCUGUAGGGAAAGUGCUUCCAAGAAAAGCCGAAGUGAAGCAACCCGUACCAAAACCGACACAGGUAGUCGAGGAGAGAAUCCUAAGGUGCUAGAGUGAAUCAUGGUUAAGGAACUAGGCAAAAUAGUCUCGUAACUUCGGGAGAAGAGACGCCAUCAGCAAUGGUGGCCGCAGUAAAGAGGCCCAGGCGACUGUUUAUCAAAAACACAGGACUCUGCAAAAUCGAAAGAUGCAGUAUAGGGUCUGACACCUGCCCGGUGCUGGAAGGUUAAGGAAGGUGCUUAGGGUUAAACCGAAGGCAUUGACUGAAGCCCCAGUAAACGGCGGCCGUAACUAUAACGGUCCUAAGGUAGCGAAAUUCCUUGUCGGGUAAGUUCCGACCUGCACGAAUGGUGUAACGAUCUGGGCACUGUCUCAACCAUGAGCUCUGUGAAAUUGUAGUAUCGGUGAAGAUGCCGAUUACCCGCAAUGGGACGAAAAGACCCUGUGAACCUUUACUAUAACUUCGUAUUGACUUUGAGUAAGUAAUGUGUAGGAUAGGUGGGAGGCUUUGAAGCUUGCACGCUAGUGUAGGUGGAGCCAACGUUGAAAUACCACCCUUUACUUACUUGGAGCCUAACUUCUUUUAGAAGGACAUUGCGUGGUGGGUAGUUUGACUGGGGUGGUCGCCUCCAAAAGAGUAACGGAGGCUUUCAAAGGUACCCUCAGCACGCUUGGUAACCGUGCGUAGAGUGUAAUGGCAUAAGGGUGCUUGACUGUGAGACCUACAAGUCGAUCAGGUGCGAAAGCAGGACAUAGUGAUCCGGUGGUUCCGUAUGGAAGGGCCAUCGCUCAUAGGAUAAAAGGUACUCCGGGGAUAACAGGCUAGUCUCCCCCAAGAGCUCACAUCGACGGGGAGGUUCGGCACCUCGAUGUCGGCUCGUCACAUCCUGGGGCUGGAGAAGGUCCCAAGGGUUGGGCUGUUCGCCCAUUAAAGUGGCACGCGAGCUGGGUUCAGAACGUCGUGAGACAGUUCGGUCUCUAUCUAUUGCGGGCGUUAGAUGUUUGAGAGGGCUUGAUUCUAGUACGAGAGGACCGAAUUGAACAAACCUCUGGUGUAUCAGUUGUACCGCCAGGUGCACUGCUGAGUAGCUACGUUUGGAAGAGAUAAGCACUGAAGGCAUAUAAGUGCGAAACUCGCCUCAAGAUGAGACAUCUUUUAAGGGUCGUUGGAGAUGACGACGUUGAUAGGCUACAGGUGUAAAGACAGUAAUGUCAUAGCCGAGUAGUACUAAUUACCCGUAGAUUUAUAGCCUGAUAUGGCGCACG